UACGUAGGGUGCAAGCGUUAUCCGGAUUUAUUGGGCGUAAAGGGCUCGUAGGCGGUUCGUCGCGUCCGGUGUGAAAGUCCAUCGCUUAACGGUGGAUCCGCGCCGGGUACGGGCGGGCUUGAGUGCGGUAGGGGAGACUGGAAUUCCCGGUGUAACGGUGGAAUGUGUAGAUAUCGGGAAGAACACCAAUGGCGAAGGCAGGUCUCUGGGCCGUUACUGACGCUGAGGAGCGAAAGCGUGGGGAGCGAACAGG
rnacentral:rRNA from 2 species